UGGCCAAAUGGAUUAAAAAAAAAAAAACCUGCCUCUAAAUAAAAAAUGAGCUAGGGGCCUGAAGCCCGCCUCUGCCUCAUUUCAACUCUGAACAAAUGGUGAAUUACAACACCCCUGGACAUAGUGGUUUCUAAAUACCAAGCUGCCGGGCUUUUAAAUAAUAGCAGCACAGAAGUGUGGUCAUAAUGCAACCUAUUUCCCUUGCUAAAUUAUUUACACAUUUAUUAUAUUUUACAUGGACUGCUGAACCUGAAGAUACUUCUUCAGGGGCCAGGUCAUUUCAAGAAACCCAUUACUGAGAAUCAGCUCAUCUACAUUAGAAACUGGCAUAUCCAAUUGUAUGUGAUAUUGCUCAUUAAUAUUAUAUAAUUACUGCCUCUGCCCAUUGUUUUUAGGUGAUGAUAACUUGUGUGUGUAUGUACGUGUGUGUACGUGCACUAUUCAACAGCUCCAAGGCAAUCCACUUCAUUAAGAAGCUGUUUAACAUUGAUGGUAUAUCAAUAAAGCCUAGCUUAAUGCAAUCGUGGAACUACACCUAAGAUGACUCGGCCAAAUGAAGCUAUUACCCUGUAUAAUGUGUUUUACACAAGAUUCAAAUGGUUUACUAAGUUUAUAAAACCACUCGCCAGAACUGACAGUGACUGAUUUACUAUAAGGUUAGCAGCAUGGGAGAAGUCAUAUGCCAAGAGAAACUUGAUAUUUGCUCUUAAGAAAUUUCUGUAUUUUACCUCCAGUUUUCCAAGAAUACAGAUAUGAUGCCUGGAGCUUGAUCAGCUAUCUUGGAUCUGGACAGAAGUUUAAUUCUGAAGAAGGAAAAGCAAUGAAGUAGAAAGAAUCCUGGUUUCUGACUACUUCUUGAAACUACCCCGCCAGCACUAUAUUGACUCUCCCAAAUUUCUUUCAUGUGAGAAAGGCACUUUUUUGUUGUGGACAGCCUUCAUUUGGGUGUUUUGUGCUUUUACACUAUUAUGAGAAACUCUCUGGUACCUUACAACUUUAUGAGAAAAUACUACGGGAAAACGUACUUAAUUGGAAUAUUGUGGGGACAGAGCCUGAGAAUUUGCAUUUGAUGGGCUCCCAUGGAGAUUGAUGCACGCUAAAGUAUGAGGCUGGAUGUUUAUGAAUCAACUCUUUUAAUUGAUCUUUAGUGAAAUAUAUACUCCAACAAUAAGGGAGCAAGAAAUUUGGAUAUUAAAGGAAAGGACUAUCUUUAGUGUUUGGUUGGGGUUUUUUUAUAGUUGACUUUCUUUGAACCUUUAUUGCUUACAGGUUCCAAAACGAAACUCCUUUGGUAGUUAAAAUUCUAGCCAGAAGGAAAUCAUCAGACAAAUUGGACCAGUGCCUGUGAAUUUAAGGCUAUGUUAGGGCUACGGUUUUGGUCUCUGACUCCCAGAUCUCCAACCUCUGGACUCUGCAGCUUCCCUGCAAGCUUCAAAAAGCUAUUCCUUAUCCAGUAUCACAGGUGAAAAUCCUCCAGCCUAGCCAUGGAGUGUAAGAUGGCAACUGUUUGGCAGCCUGGCCAUGGUUUUGAUACAGGGAAGUGAAGUGUGUCCAAUCCAAACAGCAAGGGGUAAUCUAGGUCAACACCCCUUCUACAUAGGUGGCUGGAGCCACACAAGAAUCCAAGUCAUCUCAUGUGAUGCAUGUCACAGUUUGGAAGGUCAACCCUCCGUUUCAGCUCACCUAAAUCUUUUCCAGGAUAUGCUGAUUUCAAGUGAAGCCUGUCUUUGUCCUGGACCUUUCCAAACCUUUUGUUCAGUAACAAUGCAUUAGGAGAACUUGCUUCACUGCUCCCCACCAAAAUGGGUUGUUAACUAUGGACUCCAUGCUAAUGAUAAUACCUUAAAUGGGAAAGCAGGAAGAAAACAAUAUUUAAAAUCCAAAGGGCUUGUGCAAGUUAUAAAAUGACAAACAAAAGGAGAAAAUGUAACCUAGCAAUUAACUGUAAAAAAUAAUAGUGCUUUCCAGGUGAACAUGCACACUUUUCAAUAUUGAAACAGGGUGAGGAUCAGAGGUGGGGUUUAAUAAAACCUGCUUUGGGGA